rnacentral:rRNA from 1 species
CAGUAGCCACGGUAAUACGAAGGGGGCUAGCGUUGCUCGGAUUUACUGGGCGUAAAGGGCGCGUAGGCGGACAGUUUAGUUGGGGGUGAAAGCCCGGGGCUCAACCUCGGAACUGCCUUCAAUACUGGCUGUCUUGAGUACGGGAGAGGUGAGUGGAACUCCGAGUGUAGAGGUGAAAUUCGUGGAUAUUCGGAAGAACACUAGUGGCGAAGGCGACUCACUGGCCCGUUACUGACGCUGAGGCGCGAAAGCGUGGGGAGCAAACAGGAUUAGAUACCCCCGUAGUCCCUGUCUCUUAUAC